rnacentral:rRNA from 1 species
UACGAGGGGGGCAAGCGUUGUUCGGAAUUCUUGGGCGUAAAGGGCGCGUAGGCGGUGCGGUAAGUCACCUGUGAAAUCUCUUGGCUCAACUGGGAGCUUGCAGGCGAAACUGCCGUGCUGGAGUGUGGGAGAGGUGCGUGGAAUUCCUGGUGUAGCGGUGAAAUGCGUAGAUAUCAGGAGGAACACCUGUGGCGAAAGCGGCGCACUGGACCACAACUGACGCUGAGGCGCGAAAGCUAGGGGAGCAAACAGG